CCUGCCCAGAAGCGGGGGAUAACACCUGGAAACAGAUGCUAAUACCGCAUAACAACUUGGACCGCAUGGUCCGAGCUUGAAAGAUGGCUUCGGCUAUCACUUUUGGAUGGUCCCGCGGCGUAUUAGCUAGAUGGUGGGGUAACGGCUCACCAUGGCAAUGAUACGUAGCCGACCUGAGAGGGUAAUCGGCCACAUUGGGACUGAGACACGGCCCAAACUCCUACGGGAGGCAGCAGUAGGGAAUCUUCCACAAUGAACGAAAGUCUGAUGGAGCAACGCCGCGUGAGUGAAGAAGGGUUUCGGCUCGUAAAACUCUGUUGUUAAAGAAGAACAUAUCUGAGAGUAACUGUUCAGGUAUUGACGGUAUUUAACCAGAAAGCCACGGCUAACUACGUGCCAGCAGCCGCGGUAAUACGUAGGUGGCAAGCGUUGUCCGGAUUUAUUGGGGCGUAAAGCGAGCGCAGGCGGUUUUUUAAGUCUGAUGUGAGAGCCUUCGGCUCAACCGAAGAAGUGCAUCGGAAACUGGGAAAACUUGAAGUGCAAAAAAAGGACAGUGGGAACUCCAUGUGUAGCGGUGAAAU
rnacentral:rRNA from 1 species